GGGGGGGGGGGGGGGGGGGGGGGGGGGGGGGGGGGGGGGGGGGGGGGGGGGGGGCGGGGUGGGGGGGUGGUGGCGGCGGGCGGGGGGGUAACACGUGGAUAACCUACCUAUAAGACUGGGAGAACUUCGGGAAACCGGAGCUAAUACCGGAUAAUAUUUUGAACCGCAUGGUUCAAAAGUAGAAGACGGUCUUGCUGUCACUUAUAGCUGGAUCCGCGCUGCAUUAGCUAGUUGGUAAGGUAACGGCUUACCAAGGCAACGAUGCAUAGCCGACCUGAGAGGGUGAUCGGCCACACUGGAACUGAGACACGGUCCAGACUCCUACGGGAGGCAGCAGUAGGGAAUCUUCCGCAAUGGGCGAAAGCCUGACGGAGCAACGCCGCGUGAGUGAUGAAGGUCUUCGGAUCGUAAAACUCUGUUAUUAGGGAAGAACAUAUGUGUAAGUAACUGUGCACAUCUUGACGGUACCUAAUCAGAAAGCCACGGCUAACUACGUG
rnacentral:rRNA from 1 species